CAACACCGUCGCGAUAAAUGACAAAAUUGCCCCUGGUGCGGUUUUGCUUUCUUAAUUUUCUGUCCAUCACUUCUUCAACCUGACAUAAUUAAUAAGGAAAUUAAUUAUUCGGAGGCUGAAACGAUGGAAUUUGGCUAGAAUCCCGUGACCCCGUGUCUGUGCCCCGAGUCCAAUUUCGCGGGCCGUUUCCAAUCAACCUACCAAAUUUCGGC
rnacentral:lncRNA from 1 species